CCGAGUUUACAACUCCCAAACCCCUGUGAACAUACCUAACUUGUUGCCUCAGGCGGAUCAGCCCGCGCCCGUAAAACGGGACGGCCCGCCAGCAGGAUCCCCUAAACUCUGUUUCUAUAUGUAACUUCUGAGUAAAAACCAUAAUAAAUCA
rnacentral:misc_RNA from 1 species